rnacentral:lncRNA from 1 species
AAAAAAAUAUUUGUAGGAUAAAAAUAAAGCUAUUGAUAUAGGAAGAUGUGGUAUGAGUGCCAAUGAGACAACUCUCCAUCCAAGUAACAAUUUAUAAAUGUAAACCAUUAUAGGUCAAGGUACAGCCUUCAACAUGGAGCCUUGGCUCACACCGAACAGCAAGCUAUGAACAAAAUGAUCAUGAUGAAGGACCCCAAAAAUUACUAGUGUAAAACCAUUCAAACGAAAAAACCAACAGUCUAAUCUAUAUAAAAACGAGAAACAAGCAUCACUUUAAUGAACCAUAAAAACAGACACCAACCACUGAACGUCAGAUUCCUGACAUAGGACAGGUGCAAACAAUUAUGAAUUCAGUGUAAUUCAUAAAUGUUUCAUAAUCAUUGUUUGUGAUCUCUAUAUAAUAUAAUUAUUUAAAAGGUGGACAGCGUGCCUCGAUAUUUCGAUAUUCCGAGACCCCAAUAGUCUGACACCCAUUUGUUA